GGGGACAGCAUAUGUGGUUCAGACUACAAAUCACUUCUGUGUGACUGAGGGAAGAAGAGUCAGAAUAAAGAGAAACAUACUCUCUUCCAAAGAUUAACGACAGAAGGAGCUCUAGAAUUUCACAAAGGUACUGUCAGGACACAUGAAAAUCUGGAGAAAAAGACAGGCUUGAAGAGACCAAAAAGAAGAAAGCCUGCCAAUCACAUCUCCAGAGAUUCUGAGACACACACACCCCCACCCCUGGUGUAGGGGGAACAUCAUCUGAAAGGUGACACCUACUCUAAGGAACAGAAGUACCAGCUAAGGAGGACACACACUUGAAGAAAAAGUAGACAAUGAGGUCUUGUGAAUGCUCUAAUUUUUCAAAGGUUACUUUUAAUGAUGGUUCUUAAACACUUUAACCUCCCUUCUAGCCCACUACCUACCAGAGGUAGUGGAAAAGAAAGGUGAUUAGGAUACAGGUGAAGUGGACCUGCUCAGAAAUGGCUCUUGGGUGC
ensembl:processed_transcript